AGAGUGAACGCUGGCGGUAGGUCUAACACAUGCAAGUCGAACGGCAGCACAGUGGUAGCAAUACCAUGGGUGGCGAGUGGCGGACGGGUGAGGAAUACAUCGGAAUCUACCUUUUCGUGGGGGAUAACGUAGGGAAACUUACGCUAAUACCGCAUCCGCCCUUUGGGGGAAAGCCGGGGAUCGCAAGACCUGGCGCGGAUAGAUGAGCCGAUGUCGGAUUAGCUAGUUGGUGAGGUAAUGGCUCACCGAAGGCGACGAUCCGUAGCUGGUCUGAGAGGAUGAUCAGCCACACUGGAACUGAGACACGGUCCAGACUCCGUACGGGAGGCAGCAGUGGGAAUAUUGGACAAUGGGCGCAAGCCUGACUCCGAGCCAAUUACCCGCGGUGGGUAGAAAGAAGGCCGUUCGGGUUACGUAAAGUCCCGUUUUAGGUUA
rnacentral:rRNA from 1 species